rnacentral:rRNA from 1 species
UCCUGUCUGAAUAUGGGGGGACCAUCCUCCAAGGCUAAAUACUCCUGACUGACCGAUAGUGAACCAGUACCGUGAGGGAAAGGCGAAAAGAACCCCGGCGAGGGGAGUGAAAAAGAACCUGAAACCGUGUACGUACAAGCAGUGGGAGCACAGGUUUACCUGUGUGACUGCGUACCUUUUGUAUAAUGGGUCAGCGACUUAUAUUCUGUAGCAAGGUUAACCGAAUAGGGGAGCCGGAGGGAAACCGAGUCUUAAYYGGGCGUUAAGUUGCAGGGUAUAGACCCGAAACCCGGUGAUCUAGCCAUGGGCAGGUUGAAGGUUGGGUAACACUAACUGGAGGACCGAACCGACUAAUGUUGAAAAAUUAGCGGAUGACCUGUGGCUGGGGGUGAAAGGCCAAUCAAACCGGGAGAUAGCUGGUUCUCCCCGAAAGCUAUUUAGGUAGCGCCUCGUGAAUUCAUCUCCGGGGGUAGAGCACUGUUUCGGCUAGGGGGCCAUCCCGGCUUACCAACCCGAUGCAAACUGCGAAUACCGGAGAAUGUUAUCACGGGAGACACACGGCGGGUGCUAACGUCCGUCGUGAAGAGGGAAACAACCCAGACCGCCAGCUAAGGUCCCAAAGUCAUGGUUAAGUGGGAAACGAUGUGGGAAGGCCCAGACAGCCAGGAUGUUGGCUUAGAAGCAGCCAUCAUUUAAAGAAAGCGUAAUAGCUCACUGGUCGAGUCGGCCUGCGCGGAAGAUGUAACGGGGCUAAACCAUGCACCGAAGCUGCGGCAGCGACACUCAKGUGUUGUUGGGUAGGGGAGCGUUCUGUAAGCCUGYGAAGGUGGCCUGUGAGGGUUGCUGGAGGUAUCAGAAGUGCGAAUGCUGACAUAAGUAACGAUAAAGCGGGUGAAAAGCCCGCUCGCCGGAAGACCAAGGGUUCCUGUCCAACGUUAAUCGGGGCAGGGUGAGUCGACCCCUAAGGCGAGGCCGAAAGGCGUAGUCGAUGGGAAACGGGUUAAUAUUCCCGUACUUGGUGUUACUGCGAAGGGGGGACGGAGAAGGCUAUGUUGGCCGGGCGACGGUUGUCCCGGUUUAAGCGUGUAGGUGUGUGUUCCAGGUAAAUCCGGUUCACUUUAACACUGAGGCGUGACGACGAGGCACUACGGUGCUGAAGCAACAAAUGCCCUGCUUCCAGGAAAAGCCUCUAAGCAUCAGGUAACAUCAAAUCGUACCCCAAACCGACACAGGUGGUCAGGUAGAGAAUACCAAGGCGCUUGAGAGAACUCGGGUGAAGGAACUAGGCAAAAUGGUGCCGUAACUUCGGGAGAAGGCACGCUGACACGUAGGUGAAGUGAUUUACUCAUGGAGCUGAAGUCAGUCGAAGAUACCAGCUGGCUGCAACUGUUUAUUAAAAACACAGCACUGUGCAAACACGAAAGUGGACGUAUACGGUGUGACGCCUGCCCGGUGCCGGAAGGUUAAUUGAUGGGGUCAGCGCAAGCGAAGCUCCUGAUCGAAGCCCCGGUAAACGGCGGCCGUAACUAUAACGGUCCUAAGGUAGCGAAAUUCCUUGUCGGGUAAGUUCCGACCUGCACGAAUGGCGUAAUGAUGGCCAGGCUGUCUCCACCCGAGACUCAGUGAAAUUGAACUCGCUGUGAAGAUGCAGUGUACCCGCGGCAAGACGGAAAGACCCCGUGAACCUUUACUAUAGCUUGACACUGAACAUUGAGCCUUGAUGUGUAGGAUAGGUGGGAGGCUUUGAAGUGUGGACGCCAGUCUGCAUGGAGCCGGCCUUGAAAUACCACCCUUUAAUGUUUGAUGUUCUAACGUGGACCCGUGAUCCGGGUUGCGGACAGUGUCUGGUGGGUAGUUUGACUGGGGCGGUCUCCUCCUAAAGAGUAACGGAGGAGCACGAAGGUUGGCUAAUCCUGGUCGGACAUCAGGAGGUUAGUGCAAUGGCAUAAGCCAGCUUGACUGCGAGCGUGACGGCGCGAGCAGGUGCGAAAGCAGGUCAUAGUGAUCCGGUGGUUCUGAAUGGAAGGGCCAUCGCUCAACGGAUAAAAGGUACUCCGGGGAUAACAGGCUGAUACCGCCCAAGAGUUCAUAUCGACGGCGGUGUUUGGCACCUCGAUGUCGGCUCAUCACAUCCUGGGGCUGAAGUAGGUCCCAAGGGUAUGGCUGUUCGCCAUUUAAAGUGGUACGCGAGCUGGGUUUAGAACGUCGUGAGACAGUUCGGUCCCUAUCUGCCGUGGGCGCUGGAGAACUGAGGGGGGCUGCUCCUAGUACGAGAGGACCGGAGUGGACGCAUCACUGGUGUUCGGGUUGUCAUGCCAAUGGCACUGCCCGGUAGCUAAAUGCGGAAGAGAUAAGUGCUGAAAGCAUCUAAGCACGAAACUUGCCCCGAGAUGAGUUCUCCCUGAGACUUAGAGUCUCCUGAAGGAACGUUGAAGACGACGACGUUGAUAGGCCGGGUGUGUAAGCGCAGCGAUGCGUUGAGCUAACCGGUACUAAUGAACCGUGAGGCUUAACCUU